GGAUCCCACGCAGCACGUAUUGGCUCCUUUCCCCUGUAGACCCCCAAAAAAACUUUCACAUAAAUUUGAUAUUUCAGGGGCUUCUUUGAGCCCGUGUCUUAUUUUGAGCCUUCUGAAUAAUAACAGGGAAUCUUUAAUGUAAAUCCAUGUUAUCAUUCAGAGGGAUCAUGAAUGAUGAAUCUUUUUGCCAUGGCUGAUUUCUUAGCCUUGUUCAAUCUCGAAUCUAUGGGGUGUUCUUUAACCCUCUACGAAGGGCUCUCUACAUGCUUCAGUAAAAUAAAGCUUGCCAGAGAUACCUUCUGUAUACCUCCCGAGUCCUUAAUGCCUGGUGUCGAGGGUAUAAAGAACACACAACUUCAUUUUGUCAAACACUUUACUGCAGCUUCAGUUUUGAGAACCAUGCAUAUUGAAGAACGGUAUGAUGCUAUGUCCUGCUAGAUGACGCCACUUUACCCAUUUACUUGUUUGUUGUCCUCACUGAUGUAGAAGCAUGUUUUAAGGCACUUGCUAUUGAUAGAGAUUGAAUUAUAUCUAUAUGGUUCUUUGAAAUGGUACAUGCUCAUUGAGGAAUUGUAUAAAUUGUUACAAAAAUGUUGUGCUAGACCUAGUAAGUUUACCUAUGCACUUUGUUUCCUCCAAGCAUAUAUUUUUAAGCACGCUUGAAGGCACUUGUUCGCUACUUUAGAAUAGACAUCUAUUUGUAGAUGGUGAUUUGUACUCAAUUUGAAUGACGUGCUGCUAAGCAUAAUAGUUCUUCACAAAAGUAGCUGGUAAAUUUAUUAUCCAGAUUACAUCUAAUCUGACUAGAAUGACCGUGCAAUACAUAAACGUGCAUCCAAGGAUUAGAUGUCUA